GGUAAAGCAGCCUUUAAAGCAGCCGGUAAAGCAGCCGGUAAAGCAGCCUUUAAAGCAGCCGGUAAAGCAGCCUUUAAAGCAGCCGGUAAAGCAGCCGGUAAAGCAGCCUUUAAAGCAGCAAGAGAAGCCAUGAUAACACAGGUGGAAAGCAUCGAAAUGGAUGAGGGGGACAAACUUCUGUCGAAGGAGGAGCCAGGUCCAUCAAGCGACCCAUAAAUGCUGGCAGACUUUGAUGGUUUACACAACAAAGUGUUGAGAAAUUCUGCUGAGCUUUAAUCUGUAACUGAACUGUUUAUCAGGGACGCAGCUGCAGCUUCUUUGCUUUUCUGAUUCAUACUGACCUUUUUAAUAUUAUAGUUUUAUAUUUCUGUGUUCAGCCUUCAGAGUUCUGUUGAAGUUAAUCUGAUGCUGUAAAUAAAUGUUGACAUUAGGAGGAUGGUGGGGAGGCCAAGAAUGAGUUCUCCUGAUGCUCCUUAAACUAAACUACCCUGAAAGGACCAGGUCUGAAGGACGGAGAGAUUCAGAGACUGAAAAGAUGGAACUCUGCUCUGAGCACUGAGGAGAGCUUCCUGUUGCAGAAACUCCUGUCUGUGAAACCAGCUGUUUAAUGUUGACCUGAAGAAAAAAAGAGAACUUCACCUUCCUGUUUGCUCUGUUGUGUUUGACUUUGUAUCAACCUGUUAAUCAGUUUUACUAUGUUUAUUAUUAUAGAUGUAGUUAAGUUUGCUGGUCAUUAACCAGGUUCAGCUGUCUGGACGUAGGAACAGUAAGAUAAGAAUAAGUUUUACUUUGUAGGAGCUUCUGCUUUGUGCUUUUACUUAAUAAAACCAAAUAGAUGGUUUUGAUCUAUUGAAAGACA